rnacentral:lncRNA from 1 species
GGCAGUCCACUCCAUGAAGAGGGAGGCCUUGACACACAAGAGAAAGAAGUAGUGAAGUCUGAGCAAGGAUCUGCCCCCGGCUCCCUGCACCUGCCUCCUAGAGCUACACAGAUGAACAAUCAACAUCACCACCCCCUGUGGAUUCUGGGAAAAAGACACUGUUUUCCCAUUAUGCAUGUGUGUAUGUAUGCGUGUAUGGGGACAGUGUGAUCACACAGGACCUUCUCUAGCCACCCAUCCGUGAAUGUUGAGAGAAGACCUCUGAAGUCCCCAAGCAAAGCACUCCAAAAGCCACAGAGCUGUCUGCGAGUCACAUGGCCAAACCUACUGGAAGCACCCAGGCAAGAGAGCAGUCCCGGGAAGGUGGCCAGGGACUGGGGAGCGGCAUUCUCUCCGGAGUUCGGCAGCCCAGCAGUUAACAGGCUCGGGCUGGGCAAGCAACGAACUGCCACCAACAACCUCGGGAAUUAAAGCGCCCGCUGCCUCCUGCUGAAACCUCUUCAAUAAACGGUCCUAUUCAGAACCA